GAGUUUGAUCGUGGCUCAGGAUUAACGCUAGCGGCAGGCAUAAUACAUGCAAGUUGAACGAGAUAAGUUGUAGCAAUACGGCUUUGAAAGUGGCGCACGGGUGCGUAACACGUAUGCAACCUACCUUUUACAGGGGGAUAGCCUCUCGAAAGAGAGAUUAAUACCCCAUAAUAUAUUUGUUGGGCAUCUAAUGAAUAUUAAAGCUGAGGCGGUAAAAGAUGGGCAUGCGGCUGAUUAGGUAGUUGGUGAGGUAAUGGCUCACCAAGCCGACGAUCAGUAGGGGGUCUGAGAGGAUGUCCCCCACACUGGUACUGAGACACGGACCAGACUCCUACGGGAGGCAGCAGUAGGGAAUAUUGGACAAUGGGGGCAACCCUGAUCCAGCCAUGCCGCGUGAGUAAUGAAGGCCUUCGGGUUGU
rnacentral:rRNA from 1 species